rnacentral:rRNA from 1 species
UCGGGAAUCUUGCACAAUGGGCGAAAGCCUGAUGCAGCAACGCCGUGUGAGCGAGGAAGGUCUUCGGAUCGUAAAGCUCUGUUGUUGGGGACGAAGGGCGAAGGGUUAAUAGCCCCUAGCCUGACGGUACCCUUCGAGGAAGCCCCGGCUAACUACGUGCCAGCAGCCGCGGUAAUACGGAGGAUGCAAGCGUUAUCCGGAAUUAUUGGGCGUAAAGCGUCCGCAGGUGGCUUUUCAAGUCUGCUGUCAAAGACCAGAGCUCAACUCUGGGCAGGCGGUGGAAACUGGGAAGCUAGAGUACGGUAGGGGUAGAGGGAAUUCCCAGUGUAGCGGUGAAAUGCGUAGAGAUUGGGAAGAACACCAGUGGCGAAGGCGCUCUACUGGACCUGUACUGACACUCAGGGACGAAAGCUAGGGGAGCGAAAGGGAUUAGAUACCCCCGUAGUCC